GACGAACGCUGGCGGCGUGCUUAACACAUGCAAGUCGAACGGAAAGGCCCUGCUUUUGUGGGGUGCUCGAGUGGCGAACGGGUGAGUAACACGUGAGUAACCUGCCCUUGACUUUGGGAUAACUUCAGGAAACUUGGGCUAAUACCGGAUAGGAGCUCCUGCUGCAUGGUGGGGGUUGGAAAGUUUCGGCGGUUGGGGAUGGACUCGCGGCUUAUCAGCUUGUUGGUGGGGUAGUGGCUUACCAAGGCUUUGACGGGUAGCCGGCCUGAGAGGGUGACCGGCCACAUUGGGACUGAGAGACGGCCCAGACGCGUACGGGAGGCAGCAGGGGGGAAUAUUGCACAAUGGGCGGAAGCCUGAGGCAGCAACGCCGCGGGCGGGAUGACGGCCUGCGGGGUGUAAACCGCUGUCGCCUGUGACGAAGCGUGAGUGACGGUAAUGGGUAAAGAAGCACCGGCUAACUACGUG
rnacentral:rRNA from 1 species